GACGAACGCUGGCGGUGUGCUUAACACAUGCAAGUCGAACGAAGUGGCGAACGGGUGAGUAAUACGUGAGUAACCUGCCCUCCUUUUUGGGAUAAGCCUUGGAAACGGGGUCUAAUACCGAAUAAAGGGGGAUGGGCUCGCGGCCUAUCAGCUUGUUGGUGGGGUGAUGGCCUACCAAGGCGGUGACGGGUAGCCGGCCUGGGAGGGUGACCGGCGAAAUUGGAACUGGGAGACGGCCCAGACUGCUACGGGAGGCAGGAGUGGGGGAUAUUGCACAAUGGGCUAAAGCCUGAUGCAGCGACGCCGCGUGGGGGAUUAAGGCUUUCGGGUUGUAAACCUCUUUCGCUAUCGAAGGGGUAGGUGGAGAAGAAGCGCCGGCUAACUACGUGCCAGCAGCCGCGGUAAUUC
rnacentral:rRNA from 1 species